rnacentral:rRNA from 1 species
AUGCGUGCGCUAGUUGUGGGAAUAAACCUCUCUGCUAAAAGAGACUCGAUUUAUUGGGGGCUCAAUAAGAAUGCCAAGUAUACUACUAAAUCUAUGUAUAAAUGACUGGAGAAGCCAAUUAGUGGCUGCAACUAUAGAUGGAUCUGGGGAGCAAAACUUCCUCUUAAGAUCCAAGUAUUCUUAUGGCAAAUGGCACAAGAUGCAGUUCUCACCAGAUCGGUGAUGAAAAGAAAAAAAUGGCCAGGAAACCCUGUGUGUUCCUUUUGUGGUCAGCUGGAAACGGACUCGCAUUUGUUCUUCUCCUGCCCUGUGGCAUGA